UAAAAAAUUGAAAACGGCAAAAGCGUUUCGUUCUCGCCUUCAUUUUCUUUCUCCAUUCUCUAUCUUUUGUUUGACGAUGUCCCUCUCCUCUCUGUCUCUCCUGAAAAUCCUAAUCCCCUAUUUCCGUCGUUCUCUCCUGGAUUGGCUAUUCUCUUCUUCUGACCUGGAUCAUUUCUCUCAAUGCUGUGACCUCGAUCCUUCUCUCUUCUCUGUGUGACACUCUCUUUCUCUCUCAUUUUUUCAAUUUCUCUCUCACGGUGUCGCUCUCACUAUCAAACCUAGUUCUCUAUUUGUCGAUCGUUUUUUGCAUUCUACUAGUUUCCGGAGGCAUUGUGGAGGCCACGGAGGAAAUCAUUAUGGCCAGUUCGCGAUUGAAAUGGGAAACCUCGGAUGAAGGGCUGAAAAAGUGGGCGAAACACAGCAGAGGUCCUUUAAUUCUAAAUGUUCGCUCAGUAGAACAAGUUAGAUAUCAGAUGUUUAGCCAUCGUGUUUUUUAGGAAUUUGUUGAUAUUAUUUCAAAUAAAUGUUAAUUACUAUUAUGUAUACUCUGAUCUGUUGGUAUAUGAAAUGAGAAUAAAUGUUAUUAUUUGACACCUAUUUCUGCUAAUGCUCUACCGUGCUAUUAGGUUAGGGUUUAGAUAGAUAAGAACCGAUUUCUGGGAGAAAUUUGGAGGAGUAACCAAAAGAUAUUUAGCUUUACAAGUUCGAUUUCUCUCUUAUUUCUGAUUCUCGGAUCUGAUGAUGUAGGCGGUGAAGAUCUUCGAUUAGAUCUCGGAGGUUAGUUGGGUUUAUCUUAAUUUAGGAUUUCUCAUGUAUCCUAGAAAUUAGAGAUUGUUUUUCGAUUUUCUAUUAUAUGGAAAGGAGAAACAAGAGAAUAAACUGAAGAGGGUGCAACAACAGGAGGAACGUGUUUAGCGUGUUAAGGGUAGGGUUUAGGGAGAGGGAUGAUUUGUGGGAGUGAUUGCUGAUUGGAAUAUGGGUCAAAUUGAAAAGCUGGAUUUGUGGUCAUGGAGCUGUUUUUUCGCUUUCAUGAUGGCAAUUGUGAGGUGAUCCAAUAGCUUCGACAGAUUACCACAUACUCCAGAUAUGGAGAUUUACUCUAUGAAUGGGGUCAGGAUCCCAAUAUAAAGAGCCUAUGUUUAUAAGUCAAUUUUUCAAUCGGAAUACUACAUUCCGUUUCAAAUUGACACAUCAGCAAAUGGUGGAGAUGAGGACCCUUCUUUAAAAGAUGGAGUUUAUAGUGCCAAGAGGGAUGAAACCGUUCCUGUUUUAAGCGCUGAUUUCAUGUGUGCAAAAGGUUGGCGGGGAAAAACCCGCUUUAAUCCUUCAGGCAUCCGAACAUUCAUAAAGGAGUAUGAACACGCUGCUCCGGCUAAUCUUCUCGGAGGAAAGGGAACCAAAGUGGUGCUCAUGUUGAUAUAUUGGGAAACUUUGUACUUAUUGAAGAUAUUAUACAAGUAGCAGCAGGAGCCUUUGGUGAGGACUUAGGUGGAGAUAGAGUUCACUCAGAGAUUUUCAAAGGGUCUGAAAAUAUUAACUCAUUGUAAUAAAUGUUUCGGCUGGCAGCUCUUCCUUUGUUAAAUUAUUUUUUACUUUUUGGAUUAUAAAUACUCAUUGUUAUCUUAGUUUAACAUAAGUAUUACCCAUGAUGUUAUAAAAAACUGUUGUUAGGAAUUAAA